rnacentral:rRNA from 1 species
UACAGAGGGUGCGAGCGUUGUUCGGAAUUAUUGGGCGUAAAGGGCGCGUAGGCGGUGCGGUAAGUCACCUGUGAAAUCUCCUGGCUCAACUGGGAGCUUGCAGGCGAAACUGCCGUGCUGGAGUGUGGGAGAGGUGCGUGGAAUUCCUGGUGUAGCGGUGAAAUGCGUAGAUAUCAGGAGGAACACCUGUGGUGUAGACGGCUUCUGGACCAUAGCUGACGCUGAGACACGAAAGCGUGGGUAGCAAACAGG